rnacentral:rRNA from 1 species
GAGUUUUCGGACAACGGAUUUGGUUUCUUAGUGGCGGACGGGUGAGUAACGCGUGAGCAACCUGCCUUGGAGUGGGGAAUAACAGCUGGAAACAGUUGCUAAUACCGCAUGAUGCAGCGAGGGGACAUCCUCUUGCUGCCAAAGAUUUAUCGCUCUGAGAUGGACUCGCGUCUGAUUAGCUGGUUGGCGGGGUAACGGCCCACCAAGGCGACGAUCAGUAGCCGGACUGAGAGGUUGACCGGCCACAUUGGGACUGAGAUACGGCCCAGACUCCUACGGGAGGCAGCAGUGGGGAAUAUUGGGCAAUGGGCGAAAGCCUGACCCAGCAACGCCGCGUGAAGGAAGAAGGCCCUCGGGUUGUAAACUUCUUUUAUCAGGGACGAAACAAAUGACGGUACCUGAUGAAUAAGCCACGGCUAACUACGUGCCAGCAGCCGCGGUAAUACGUAGGUGGCAAGCGUUAUCCGGAUUUACUGGGUGUAAAGGGCGUGUAGGCGGGCCUGCAAGUCAGGUGUGAAAUUCCAGGGCUCAACCCUGGAACUGCACUUGAAACUGUGGGUCUUGAGUGAUGGAGAGGCAGGCGGAAUUCCGUGUGUAGCGGUGAAAUGCGUAGAUAUACGGAGGAACACCAGAGGCGAAGGCGGCCUGCUGGACAUUAACUG